UACGAAGGGGGCUAGCGUUGCUCGGAAUCACUGGGCGUAAAGCGCACGUAGGCGGGUCUUUAAGUCAGGGUGAAAUCCUGGAGCUCAACUCCAGAACUGCCUUUGAUACUGAAGAUCUCGAGUCCGGAAGAGGUGAGUGGAACUCCGAGUGUAGAGGUAGAAUUCGAUAGAUAUUCGGAAGAACACCAGUGGCGAAGGCGGCUCACUGGUCCGGUACUGACGCUGAGGUGCGAAAGCGUGGGGAGCAAACAGG
rnacentral:rRNA from 1 species